GCCUUCGUGGUGAAAUGGUCAGCACACUCAACGCGUAUUCGAGAGGACCGUGGUUCGAGUCCCAGUGAGGGCG
rfam:Stegodyphus mimosarum contig109806, whole genome shotgun sequence.